rfam:Triticum urartu cultivar G1812 contig1204916, whole genome shotgun sequence.
UGUAUACUCCCUCCGUCCGGAAAAUACUUGUCAUCAAAAUGAACAAAAAGGGAUGUAUCUACAACUAAAAUACAUCUAGAUACAUUCGCUUUUAUUCAUUUUGAUGACAAGUAUUUCCGGACGGAAGGAGUACAAG